ensembl:miRNA gmo-mir-11218 gmo-mir-11218
UCACGUUCUCUUGCUACAUCAGUAUUCCACAAGUUACUGUGAUUUCAAGGAGCGUUGG